rnacentral:rRNA from 1 species
UGGGGAAUAUUGCACAAUGGGCGCAAGCCUGAUGCAGCCAUGCCGCGUGUGUGAAGAAGGCCUUCGGGUUGUAAAGCACUUUCAGCGGGGAGGAAGGCGUUAAGGUUAAUAACCUUGGCGAUUGACGUUACCCGCAGAAGAAGCACCGGCUAACUCCGUGCCAGCAGCCGCGGUAAUACGGAGGGUGCAAGCGUUAAUCGGAAUUACUGGGCGUAAAGCGCACGCAGGCGGUCUGUCAAGUCGGAUGUGAAAUCCCCGGGCUCAACCUGGGAACUGCAUUCGAAACUGGCAGGCUAGAGUCUUGUAGAGGGGGGAAGAAUUCCAGGUGUAGCGGUGAAAUGCGUAGAGAUCUGGAGGAAUACCGGUGGCGAAGGCGGCCCCCUGGACAAAGACUGACGCUCAGGUGCGAAAGCGUGGGGAGCAAACAGG